GGUUAAGCGACUAAGCGUACACGGUGGAUGCCCUGGCAGUCAGAGGCGAUGAAGGACGUGCUAAUCUGCGAUAAGCGUCGGUAAGGUGAUAUGAACCGUUAUAACCGGCGAUUUCCGAAUGGGGAAACCCAGUGUGAUUCGUCACACUAUCAUUAACUGAAUCCAUAGGUUAAUGAGGCGAACCGGGGGAACUGAAACAUCUAAGUACCCCGAGGAAAAGAAAUCAACCGAGAUUCCCCCAGUAGCGGCGAGCGAACGGGGAGCAGCCCAGAGCCUGAAUCAGUGUGUGUGUUAGUGGAAGCGUCUGGAAAGGCGUGCGAUACAGGGUGACAGCCCCGUACACAAAAAUGCACAUGCUGUGAGCUCGAUGAGUAGGGCGGGACACGUGGUAUCCUGUCUGAAUAUGGGGGGACCAUCCUCCAAGGCUAAAUACUCCUGACUGACCGAUAGUGAACCAGUACCGUGAGGGAAAGGCGAAAAGAACCCCGGCGAGGGGAGUGAAAAAGAACCUGAAACCGUGUACGUACAAGCAGUGGGAGCACGCUUAGGCGUGUGACUGCGUACCUUUUGUAUAAUGGGUCAGCGACUUAUAUUCUGUAGCAAGGUUAACCGAAUAGGGGAGCCGAAGGGAAACCGAGUCUUAACUGGGCGUUAAGUUGCAGGGUAUAGACCCGAAACCCGGUGAUCUAGCCAUGGGCAGGUUGAAGGUUGGGUAACACUAACUGGAGGACCGAACCGACUAAUGUUGAAAAAUUAGCGGAUGACUUGUGGCUGGGGGUGAAAGGCCAAUCAAACCGGGAGAUAGCUGGUUCUCCCCGAAAGCUAUUUAGGUAGCGCCUCGUGAAUUCAUCUCCGGGGGUAGAGCACUGUUUCGGCAAGGGGGUCAUCCCGACUUACCAACCCGAUGCAAACUGCGAAUACCGGAGAAUGUUAUCACGGGAGACACACGGCGGGUGCUAACGUCCGUCGUGAAGAGGGAAACAACCCAGACCGCCAGCUAAGGUCCCAAAGUCAUGGUUAAGUGGGAAACGAUGUGGGAAGGCCCAGACAGCCAGGAUGUUGGCUUAGAAGCAGCCAUCAUUUAAAGAAAGCGUAAUAGCUCACUGGUCGAGUCGGCCUGCGCGGAAGAUGUAACGGGGCUAAACCAUGCACCGAAGCUGCGGCAGCGACGCUUAUGCGUUGUUGGGUAGGGGAGCGUUCUGUAAGCCUGCGAAGGUGUGCUGUGAGGCAUGCUGGAGGUAUCAGAAGUGCGAAUGCUGACAUAAGUAACGAUAAAGCGGGUGAAAAGCCCGCUCGCCGGAAGACCAAGGGUUCCUGUCCAACGUUAAUCGGGGCAGGGUGAGUCGACCCCUAAGGCGAGGCCGAAAGGCGUAGUCGAUGGGAAACAGGUUAAUAUUCCUGUACUUGGUGUUACUGCGAAGGGGGGACGGAGAAGGCUAUGUUGGCCGGGCGACGGUUGUCCCGGUUUAAGCGUGUAGGCUGGUUUUCCAGGCAAAUCCGGAAAAUCAAGGCUGAGGCGUGAUGACGAGGCACUACGGUGCUGAAGCAACAAAUGCCCUGCUUCCAGGAAAAGCCUCUAAGCAUCAGGUAACAUCAAAUCGUACCCCAAACCGACACAGGUGGUCAGGUAGAGAAUACCAAGGCGCUUGAGAGAACUCGGGUGAAGGAACUAGGCAAAAUGGUGCCGUAACUUCGGGAGAAGGCACGCUGAUAUGUAGGUGAAGCGACUUGCUCGUGGAGCUGAAAUCAGUCGAAGAUACCAGCUGGCUGCAACUGUUUAUUAAAAACACAGCACUGUGCAAACACGAAAGUGGACGUAUACGGUGUGACGCCUGCCCGGUGCCGGAAGGUUAAUUGAUGGGGUCAGCGCAAGCGAAGCUCUUGAUCGAAGCCCCGGUAAACGGCGGCCGUAACUAUAACGGUCCUAAGGUAGCGAAAUUCCUUGUCGGGUAAGUUCCGACCUGCACGAAUGGCGUAAUGAUGGCCAGGCUGUCUCCACCCGAGACUCAGUGAAAUUGAACUCGCUGUGAAGAUGCAGUGUACCCGCGGCAAGACGGAAAGACCCCGUGAACCUUUACUAUAGCUUGACACUGAACAUUGAGCCUUGAUGUGUAGGAUAGGUGGGAGGCUUUGAAGUGUGGACGCCAGUCUGCAUGGAGCCGACCUUGAAAUACCACCCUUUAAUGUUUGAUGUUCUAACGUUGACCCGUGAUCCGGGUUGCGGACAGUGUCUGGUGGGUAGUUUGACUGGGGCGGUCUCCUCCUAAAGAGUAACGGAGGAGCACGAAGGUUGGCUAAUCCUGGUCGGACAUCAGGAGGUUAGUGCAAUGGCAUAAGCCAGCUUGACUGCGAGCGUGACGGCGCGAGCAGGUGCGAAAGCAGGUCAUAGUGAUCCGGUGGUUCUGAAUGGAAGGGCCAUCGCUCAACGGAUAAAAGGUACUCCGGGGAUAACAGGCUGAUACCGCCCAAGAGUUCAUAUCGACGGCGGUGUUUGGCACCUCGAUGUCGGCUCAUCACAUCCUGGGGCUGAAGUAGGUCCCAAGGGUAUGGCUGUUCGCCAUUUAAAGUGGUACGCGAGCUGGGUUUAGAACGUCGUGAGACAGUUCGGUCCCUAUCUGCCGUGGGCGCUGGAGAACUGAGGGGGGCUGCUCCUAGUACGAGAGGACCGGAGUGGACGCAUCACUGGUGUUCGGGUUGUCAUGCCAAUGGCACUGCCCGGUAGCUAAAUGCGGAAGAGAUAAGUGCUGAAAGCAUCUAAGCACGAAACUUGCCCCGAGAUGAGUUCUCCCUGACUCCUUGAGAGUCCUGAAGGAACGUUGAAGACGACGACGUUGAUAGGCCGGGUGUGUAAGCGCAGCGAUGCGUUGAGCUAACCGGUACUAAUGAACCGUGAGGCUUAACCUU
rnacentral:rRNA from 1 species